AAUGAACGCUGGCGGUGGGCCUAACACAUGCAAGUCGAACGAGUGGCGGACGGGUGAGGAAUACAUCGGAAUCUACCCAGUCGAGGGGGAUAACGAGGGGAAACUUACGCUAAUACCGCAUACGAUUGAAUGAGCCGAUGUCGGAUUAGCUGGUUGGCGGGGUAAAGGCCCACCAAGGCGACGAUCCGUAGCUGGUCUGAGAGGAUGACAAGCCACACUGGAACGGAGACACGGUCCAGACUCCUACGGGAGGCAGCAGUGGGGAAUAUUGGACAAGGGGCGCAAGCCUGAUCCAGCCAUACCGCGUGGGUGAAGAAGGCUUUCGGGUUGUAAAGCCCUUUUGUUGGGAAAGCGGUACCCAAAGAAUAAGCACCGGCUAACUUCGUGCCAGCAGCCGCGGUAAUAC
rnacentral:rRNA from 1 species